rnacentral:misc_RNA from 1 species
GUAGGUGAACCUGCGGAAGGAUCAUUACCGAGCUAGGGUCUCUGGCCCGACCUCCAACCCUUUGUGUACCUACCUUUAUUGCUUUGGCGGGCCGUCGGGCCACCAUGGCCCGCCGCGGACCCUCGAGGCCCGCGAGAGCCCGUCAGAAGCCUCCUUUAAAACUCUACGUACGGUUAUAGUCUGAGUGGGUAUUCAAUUUAGUUAAAACUUUCAACAACGGAUCUCUUGGUUCUG